rnacentral:rRNA from 1 species
CGCAAAACGGGGAUUAGAUACCCCGGUAGUCCAGGGUGUAAACGCUGCCGACUUGGUGUUGGAGGCCCUUCGGGGGCAUUCAGUGCCGGAGAGAAGUUGUUAAGUCGGCUACUUGGGGAGUACGUCCGCAAGGAUGAAACUUAAAGGAAUUGGCGGGGGAGCACCGCAACGGGAGGAGCGUGCGGUUUAAUUGGAUUCAACACCGGAAAACUCACCAGCGGCGACUGUUACAUGAAAGUCAGGCCGAUGACCUUACUAGAUUUUCAGAGAGGUGGUGCAUGGCCGUCGUCAGUUCGUACCGUAAGGCGUUCUCUUAAGUGAG